rnacentral:rRNA from 1 species
GACAGAGGUCCCGAGCGUUGUUCGGAUUCAUUGGGCGUAAAGGGUGUGUAGGAGGUUGGGUAAGUCAGGUGUGAAAUCUCUCAGCUUAACUGAGAAACUGCGCUUGAUACUGCUCAGCUAGAGGAUCGGAGGGGGUAACGGAAUUCAUGGUGUAGCAGUGAAAUGCGUAGAUAUCAUGAGGAACACCGGUGGCGAAGGCGGUUACCUGGAAGAUUCCUGACUCUGAAACACGAAAGCCAGGGGAGCAAACGGG